GAGUGUUUAGUAUAUUGUACAUUUACCUUCCAAGUAAAAAGAUUACUAACUGUAAAAAACUCA
rnacentral:tRNA from 1 species